GACGAACGCUGGCGGCGUGCUUAACACAUGCAAGUCGAACGGAAAGGCCUUUUCGGAGGUACUCGAGUGGCGAACGGGUGAGUAACACGUGGGUGAUCUGCCCUGCACUCUGGGAUAAGCCUGGGAAACUGGGUCUAAUACCGGAUAGGACCGCACUUUAGUGUGUGUGGUGGAAAGUUUUUUCGGUGUAGGAUGAGCCCGCGGCCUAUCAGCUUGUUGGUGGGGUAAUGGCCUACCAAGGCGGCGACGGGUAGCCGGACUGAGAGGUUGGUCGGCCACAUUGGGACUGAGAUACGGCCCAGACUCCUACGGGAGGCAGCAGUGGGGAAUAUUGCACAAUGGGCGCAAGCCUGAUGCAGCGACGCCGCGUGGGGGAUGUCGGCCUUCGGGUUGUAAACUCCUUUCGCCAGGGACGAAGCGUUUUGUGACGGUACCUGGAGAAGAAGCACCGGCUAACUACGUG
rnacentral:rRNA from 1 species